rnacentral:lncRNA from 1 species
CAACUGGAGUGUCUUUUAAAAUCUGGUGAUCUCUUGCAUGCUUCAUGUUGGCGUGAAAGCCAAAGCUAAUAUUUAGGAAGGGAAGGUACCUGUGCCAGCAGAGGUGUCAUGGGGACAGUUCAGAAUAGAGCCUUUGCUCUUUUACAGUGUGUGAGCUGAUUCACAGACAUUUUGUGUUUAUAGCACUCAGCGACAACCUGCAUGCAAUGUUUCUACUGGAUUUUAUCCCCAUCCUUGAUUAUGGGACGCUCUUCACAGACACACUUAACUUUGAUUGUGAAGAUGGGGCUUGAUGAUUUCAGAAACAUAGUUAAGAUAAGCUAAAUGCUGAAGAUUGCUAUUUUGAAAACCACUGUGAAUUUGCUUAUUUGGCAUGUAGAUGGAGAAUAAUAAGUCUUGUUACUAGUAUCACAAAUAUUCAGGCAAACUUUUACCCUAUAUUACUGAUUACUCCUCAGGACUCAGGUCAUUCUAAAUGUCCAUUGGGUGGUCUUUCUUCAGUGGCACAGGCCAUCAGAAGUGUUUAUAAAAUAUUGAAUACAGCUCUGGAUAAUUCAAGCAAAAAGGGAAUUGAUUAGAAGGACAACGGUAGUUCAUUAUAAUUAUAAGAAAAUAGGAGAUUAGGUUCAGAAAUAAACAACAACCAACUGUGGGCCUGAUGGCCAAGGCCAAGGUUGCACUGUGCUCUCAUCAGGGCCUCACUGCUGGCACAACUCUUCCUGGACCUCCCCAACCCCUUUUAGACUCUUGACUCCUCCACUGCCACCAAGAAUGUCAUGACUGCCUCCCUUAAGAAACAAAGUCUGAGGUGGGACUUUCCAAUUGGCUGAGCCUAGGUCAUGUGCUCAAGUGCCAGUCACAGGGGACUCUGGGAGUGGGGAUUAUCUGACACCCUUUGGCUUUCCCCUUAGGAAAUCUACCAAGACCCACCCAAUGGGGAACUGUUCCUAACAGAGAGUUCAAUGCCUCAUAGCCAAGAACAAAACAAAACAAAAAAACAAGAAAUGAGAAUUGAUUGCCACGGAAGUCGCUUCCCGGAAGCCAGCCUGCAGGGAGCCAUGCAACCCACCCCAGGCCCCACAGGAUGCUGGGGAAGGCAGGCGUGUUCAGCUCAGCGUGUUCUCCGGGGGAUGGUGGCGGCUGCUCUUCUGGGCAACAACAGUGGACACACGUUCAGUGAGUUCAGGGCAGGCAUCCGGCCCCCAGUGAACAGUGGUGUCAGAAUUCUGAGCGAGCGGUGA